ensembl:snRNA U6 U6 spliceosomal RNA
CUGCUCCCUUGAGCAGCACAUACACUAAAACUGGGAUGAUACAGAGAAGAUUAGCAUGGCCCCUGAACAAGGAUGACACACAAAUGCAUGAAGCAGUCUAUAUUUUU